rnacentral:rRNA from 1 species
UACGUAGGCAGCAAGCGUUGUUCGGAGUUACUGGGCGUAAAGGGUGCGUAGGCGGCUUUUUAAGUUUGGUGUGAAAUCUCCCGGCUCAACUGGGAGGGGUGCGCCGAAUACUGAGAGGCUAGAGUGUGGGAGAGGAAAGUGGAAUUCCUGGUGUAGCGGUGAAAUGCGUAGAUAUCAGGAGGAACACCGGUGGUGUAAACGGCUUUCUGGACCAUAACUGACGCUGAUGCACGAAAGCGUGGGUAGCAAACAGG